rnacentral:rRNA from 1 species
UACGUAGGGGGCAAGCGUUGUCCGGAUUUAUUGGGCGUAAAGAGCUCGUAGGCGGCUCUGUAAGUCGGGUGUGAAACCUCCAGGCUCAACCUGGAGACGCCACCCGAUACUGCUGUGGCUUGAGUCCGGUAGGGGAGCGUGGAAUUCCUGGUGUAGCGGUGAAAUGCGCAGAUAUCAGGAGGAACACCAAUGGCGAAGGCAGCUCGCUGGGACGGUACUGACGCUGAGGCGCGAAAGCGUGGGGAGCGAACAGG